rnacentral:tRNA from 7 species
GCCCUCGUAGCUCAGGGGAUAGAGCACUGGUUUCCGGUACCAGGGGUCGGACGUUCGAAUCGUCUCGGGGGCA